GACGAACGCUGGCGGCGUGCCUAAUACAUGCAAGUCGAACGCAGUGGGGACGGGGGAGUAAAAAGUGGGUAACCUCCCAUCAGAGGGGAUAACACUUGGAAACAGGUGCUAAACCGAUACUGAUGGAUGGACCCGCGGGUCAUUAGGUAGUUGGGUAGGUAACGGCUCACCAAGGCCACGCUGCAUAGCCGACCUGAGAAGGUUAUCGGCCACGCUGGGACUGAGACACGGCCCAGACUCCUUCGGGAGGCAGCAGUAGGGAAUCUUCGGCAAUGGACGAAAGUCUGACCGAGCCACGCCGCGUGAGUGAAGAAGGUUUUCGGAUCGUAAAGCUCUGUUGUUUGAGAAGCGGUAACUAACCAGAAAGGGACGGCUAACUACGUGCCAGCAGCCGCGGUAAUAC
rnacentral:rRNA from 1 species